rnacentral:lncRNA from 10 species
CAGGAAUGGAGGAUUAAGCUAGUUGGAAUAAUUUGAGUUCUUUGUUUCUCAAUGCUUCUUUUUAACUUGUAAAAUGGGAGUUGGAAAACUGACUCCAGGGAACUGGCAAAAAAUAAAAUAAAAGAAUUGGUUGGCACAGAAGAGUUGGAACUUAAGUUUCAAAGAGAUGGAAGCAAAGUGACACCAAAAAUAUCCUAAAAUUGAACCAGAAUAAUGGGAAGCCUCCAGAAACAAAGCUGGAAUUGAACCAGACUUGCUUUUGUUGACCCAGCAUUUGGACUCAGG